CCUACGGGUGGCUGCAGUGAGGAAUAUUGGUCAAUGGACGCAAGUCUGAACCAGCCAUGCCGCGUGGAGGAUGAAGGCCUUCUGGGUUGUAAACUUCUUUUAUAUGGGAAGAAAAGUACGGUUUCUACUGUAUCCGACGGUACCAUAUGAAUAAGCACCGGCUAACUCCGUGCCAGCAGCCGCGGUAAUACGGAGGGUGCAAGCGUUAUCCGGAUUUACUGGGUUUAAAGGGUGUGUAGGCGGAUAUUUAAGUCAGAGGUGAAAUCUCCGGGCUC
rnacentral:rRNA from 1 species